rnacentral:snRNA from 9 species
AUACUUACCUGGCGUAGGGGAUACCGUGAUCAUGCAGACGGCUCCCUCCAGGGUGAGGCUCCUCCAUUGCACUGCGGAGUGGUUGACCCUUGCGAUUAUUUUUUAUUUUUAUCAAUAAAAAAAUCAUAUUAAAAAAUGAAUACCCGAAUAACUAUUUUCUUUAUA